AUUGUUUUUAUACCAAACCCCAACAUAUAAGGUUUAUUCACCAGAAUUAAAUAGGCGACUCUCAGUACUCAUUUAUCAUUUACAAAAGUAAAACUCAAACUGAAAUCAUUUUGGUAAUUCAGGUAUCCAAAUUGCUUGCAGCAAUUGUAGGAUGACAGCAGUUCUGUCUGAAGUUUGGUUGAUCCUACCCUGUGCUGAGGGAGUGGGGGGAACAGGAAAAUUCAUGAUAGAAAAGUACAUGCUUCUAGCAAAUCUCAGUGGAUGAAAGAAUCUAGAUUUUCCUUAGCAUACAGCAAGGACGAAGAAUGUGUUGUAAACCACACUGUGAUCCUUGGAUGAGGGGUGGCAUAGAAAUUCAAUAACUAAUUAACCAGCCAACUAACUAGCAAACUAACUAGCUAACUAACUAACUAACUAACUAAUAGUCAUAUCUCAUCAUCCCUGACCAUUGCCCAUCCCUUUGCCAGGGAUGCUGGUCUCCAAUAACACCUGAAGGUCCACAGCUUUCUCAUCCCUGGAGGAAGACCUCAGUUUGUGAUGUCGCUGACUGCUGCAGCCCUUGUUUCUUUUCUCUCACCCCUUUCUCUUGUUCGGUCUCUUCUCUCCCCCCCCCCCUUCUGCCCACUUAAGUUUUUAUAAAAUUGGUGGAUCAUUUCCUAACUAUGCAGUGGAUCUGGAGGCUCAAAUGGCUGUUUGAAAGGUCUGUGUUGUUUGUUCGUUGUUGUUUUCCCAGCAACUAUCAUCAGUCAAACAUUGUGUUGUUCCAGCAGCACUUCUCAUUUAGCCGGGAGGAAUAGCUUUAGGAUUGCUAAGUGUCUGGAGGGUGUUGGCUACUAAGACAUGUUUUUUAAGCAGGCCAUAAUAGUUUCUACAGCUGUUAACAGUUCCUAGAAGAAAGGCUGCAUUAUUCGCCUGUGUUUAAAAUGUGCAUGACUGGCAUUGCACAGAAGUCAGAUUGGGAGAAUGUCAUACCCCCCCCCCCUUUCUAAUUUAUGUUUUGGGAAACUUGGCCAGGAAAGACUUCAAUAACUAGAGAAAUUCUUUUCAAUCAACAUGUGGUACAUUGUAUUGUUAUAAUUGCUCAGACCUCACCAUGAAAGUUGUCUUUGUAUGUGUAGAUGUACAAUCUGUACUGUUUUGUUUUUUAUUUAUUCUGCAUUCUUUAUUCUAAUGUGUGUUCUUCUCCUUUUUUUCCUUCCAGGCCAGAAAGAUUGUUAUUGAGCUCUGCACAAAGCUGAAAUAAUGCUGUGUGUUAAAAAAUGUGAAGAAUUUGAAAAAGUUAUAAAAAUUUAUAAGUUGGCUCGAUGCUGAGGAAAUUUCUGCAUAUUUUAAUAUAAAUAGGUAAUGCAAAUAUUUGUUCUGUGCGUUCAGAGAUGCUCUCUGUUUUCCAAAAGUACUGGUAUUUAGUUCUGAUUCCGAUAAAGCAGUUGCAGUUCAUUUUCGCUGUUGAUUAAUGACCAAAAUGAAUGUCAUUCCAAAAGUCAUAGCACUGAUAUGGUUAAUUGCAUAAAGUACAGCAGUGAAGUGCAAAACAGAGAAUAGUUUCAAUGUGCAAACAGAUUCGCUGUGUACAAUUGACAUCUACCAACGUUAGGGCCGGCACUAUGCAGGCUUAAGAGGCAGCAGCUUGAGGGCAGUACACUUAAAAGGACACCUGCAGUGCUACAUGAACUCUACAUGAAUCAGCAGAGCAGCCCAGAGUCCUCAGUGACAUCAAAGAGAGACCCAGAAUGCACUUGCAGAUUUCACAGAGAUGCCCUGGCCUCAUUUAGUAACGCUGGUAAAAGUUCUUGAGCUGGCCCUGACUUAAAUGAAUGGAAACCGUCCCAUAGAAUUCAUGACAAUUUGCGCUCAUGAUGGUAUUGAGACUGUUAUACUGUUGCAUCUGUCAAUGUUUCAGGGCGGGCUUACUGUUCAUUGCAGGGCCCUUAGCUUUCUUCUGAAAUCUUGUAAUUUUUUAUACCACAUAUGUUCCAGGCAUGGUUUUCCCUCCACUUUGGUUGCACUAUAGUGCAGGAGUAAAAGUUCCACAUGGCAAUAAUGCAGUAACACUGGAGAAGCAUAACUACCAUAUUGGCCUGGAUAUAAGCCUCACUUUCCCCCAAAAUUCUGACUGUGAAAAGUUAAAGUGCUGCUUAUAUUCGCGACUGUACAGUAUACAGCCAGGGGCGUGGGGCAAACAGCGCCAGGAGCGUGGCACUGGGGCGCCCACCCUGUGCAUAUUCCCCGUCCUCUCCCCCAAGGCCAGGAAGUGAGAGAGCGAGGAAGGGGAAAGGCCACCAGCAACGUAGUAUGGCUCCCCUCCCCCCCAGUAUGCAGCCAGGAGCAGUGAGGAAUGGAGCGGCUUAUAUUCGGGUAUUUUUUCUUUUUUCCUCCCCCCCUCCCAAUUUUAAAGGUGCGGCUUAUGUUCGGGUGUGGCUUAUAUUUGGAUCAAUACGGUAAUACAGUGGAAUGGUGUGUGGACAGUCUGGUAUAAAUCCACCAUGAUUAUGCUAUUAUUGCAUCAAUCAUAGAAACAGAAUUGUAGAGCUGCACCCCUUGCCGGUGCAUUUUCAUUAUAGAUAUAUCAGUAGACAAGCAUGACAUUGGUGAUGCACAUUGACACAGCAGCUAUAAAAAUGGAGAGCCAUUAAGCGGAAAUCAUAGCCGAUUUAAGAGGUACACAACUAAAAACGUAAUGGGAGCUAGAUCUGGAAUGAGGAAGUAGGAGUUGUGAGUAAACAUGACAAGAGACAGUAUAGAUCUGGGCCACAAUUUCUCAGGAAAUAAUGUUCUGAUAACUUUUCUGGGAAUUUUCUUAGUCACCUCUUGAAUGUUUUUGAAUAUUCUAGGACAAUAAUACCACCACCACCUUUUGCUGUCCAUAAAUGUGGUGAAGAAUUUUGAGAAUUUGUUUUGUGCAAAUCUGAGAGAUCAAAAGAAUCUCCCUCUCUCCCUGUCUGAUUGAAGAGUGCCAAGAAUAGUUACAUACACAGCUGGAAAAGAAAUGGAAGGUUUGAGGAAGCAAUGGGCAAGGAAAUUUGAGUAGCAGAAAGUGACAACUGAGCCACUCUUCUAAAAACAAUGAAACAAAUCUCUCCUUUGAAGGGUAACACUGUGACCUCAAGUGGGGUACUCUGGAGCUCAAUUUGCCCAAAGAGGGCCAGGCCACCCAUGUGGCAAGGUGAUGUGAGUGCCUUAGGCAGCAGGAUCCACAGGGGCAGCAGAUCUGAGAUAUGAAGAACUACAGAAGGGAGAAAGGGGAAGUCCUGUUGUGCAAGCAGAAGUCUGUUCCACUGGUAGACAGACACAGAUAUCACCCAGUAUCACCUAGUUUGUUUGUGCUAAGCCACGGUUUAAUAAACAAUUGCUUCUUAAAGCAUGACUUAGUGUAACUCUGGUUUGUUUAUUGCCACCAAAUCCAUGGCUUACAAACUUUGGUUUGUUUUAAGUUUUUAACUAUGGCUUGGCAUUAUGUGUGAACACAAGCAGCCUUCCUUAACCAUGGUUUGUUUGGCCACUCUAUUGCAGAUGCUUGCCAAGCUACAAAGGCAAGAACAGAUGGAAAACAAACAUAAUUUGGAGAAGCAAGCUAUGGUUUGUUGAUCAUCCAUUAGACAACUCAUGGUUAACCACAAACCAUGGCUUAGAAUAAUGUGAAAGCCAGGCUAAAGUCUCAGGACUGGGAGAUCAGACAACCUAGAAUCCUAGAACUGUGGAGCUGGAAGGGACCCAAAGGAUCAUGGGAACUUGUGCCAUUAAACAACUGUUUUGUUCUGUUACUAAUACAUAUUCCGCACCCUUUUUUCCUGGAUUCAUAAUUAAGUGUGCACAUUUCCUUCCACCUCAUUUGAUUCUUUUUUCAUUUGUUGGGGUUUUAGUCCUUUGUAAUUUCCUAGUAGUGAGUUAGCGAUUGAGUGGGCUGGUUGUUGGUCUUGUGGCUGGAGAAGUUCAUCACAUUCUUGAAAUGGAAAAAAAGUUCUGUUAACAGUAACAUAAAAGAGAACUUCUCUCCAGCAGUGAAAAAGGAGAAGGAAACGGU